rnacentral:lncRNA from 1 species
ACCUCUUAUUCUUAUUGGACAGCUCCGCCCCCCUCGCAGUAGCCACGCCCCCUUCAGGUCUCUCUCAGUGUUGCUCGUGCAGGGACAGGCUGUACCGUGUGCGCGCGAGCUGGCAGUGAUGAUGAGCUGCGUGGAGCUUGUGGACUGAAGGAGCCUUCAUCAUCACCUCCUCCUCCUCAGCAUUAGCAGGUGUUGGCAGGCGCUGGAGCUCCGGAGCUGAAGGCGCUGAAGGUGACUGUGCUGAAGCCGAGGCCUGCGCGCUCUCUCCGGGAUGCUGCUGCUGCUGCUGCUGACGGCGCUGCUGAGCUUCUCUGCUGGAGUGAGAUGUCUCCCUCUGCUGGAUGUGAAGGGGGACAGUUGCCUGGAUGAUUCGAGUAUGAGGACGAAUGCAAACCUGCCGCUCCCAGGCUGUGAUGGACAGGUGACAGAGGGUUUGACUGAUGAACAGAGGCAUCAGGGUCUUCUAAGCGAACUACAGGAGUUGGCAGAUCAUGAGCGAGAGAAAGAGAGGGAGUACACACGUGAAGAUGAGGAAUAUGAACAGAAUGAGGUGGAGAACCAGAACGACUGGGAGGACGGCGAGCAGGGGAGGAUGAUGAGGGAGGAAGAACGCUGGGGGCCAGAGGAGGACAGGCGAAGGGAUGAGGGCAGGAUGGAGGUGGAGAAACAGGGGAAUGAGGAGGAGGAAGAGGAGAACGCCAGGGAGCUGGAGGAGCUGCUGGCCGAAGAGAUUCGGAAGAAAGAUGCAGAAAGAGAGCAGGAAAGGAAAGAUGAUGAAGAGCUGGAGGAGCUGCUGAAGGAACUGAAGAAGAAACAAUACGAGGUGACCAAAGAGACGAAGCAACAGAAGCAGAAGCAGGAGGAAAAGAAGGAGGAGGAGAAGGAGGAGGAUGGAGGAGGUGGAGAAGAGGAGGAGGAAGAGAAGAAGAGGGUGGAGAAGAAACUGGAAAUGGAAAGGUAUUAAAAAACCUUCAAGAUAAAUUAAAAGGAAAGAGAAAUUUACAAUGAUCAUUAAACCCCAUAUAA